AUUGAACGCUGGCGGCAGGCCUAACACAUGCAAGUCGAGCGGAGCGGCGGACGGGUGAGUAAUGCCUAGGAAUCUGCCUGGUAGUGGGGGAUAACGUCCGGCAACGGGCGCUAAUACCGCAUACUAUCAGAUGAGCCUAGGUCUGAUUAGCUAGUUGGUGGGGUAAAGGCCUACCAAGGCGACGAUCCGUAACUGGUCUGAGAGGAGGAUCAGUCACACUGGGACUGAGACACGGUCCAGACUCCUACGGGAGGCAGCAGUGGGGAAUAUUGGACAAGUGGCGAAAGCCUGAUCCAGCCAUGCCGCGUGUGUGAAGAAGGUCUUCGGAUUGUAAAGCACUUUAAGUUGGGAGGCGUGAAAAAAAGAAUAAGCACCGGCUAACUUCGUGCCAGCAGCCGCGGUAAUUG
rnacentral:rRNA from 1 species